UACAGAGGGUGCGAGCGUUAAUCGGAAUUACUGGGCGUAAAGCGUGCGUAGGCGGCUUGUCGCGUCGACUGUGAAAACCCGCGGCUCAACUGCGGGCCUGCAGUCGAUACGGGCAGACUAGAGGUAGGUAGGGGAGAAUGGAAUUCCCGGUGUAGCGGUGAAAUGCGCAGAUAUCGGGAGGAACACCGGUGGCGAAGGCGGUUCUCUGGGCCUUACCUGACGCUGAGGAGCGAAAGCGUGGGGAGCGAACAGG
rnacentral:rRNA from 1 species